rnacentral:tRNA from 1 species
GGCAGUUUAGCUUCAUUGGUAGAGUACUCAGUUGGUAUCUAAGAGGUGCUGGUUCAAGUCCUGUGACUGUCU